GGGCCCGCACAAGCGGUGGAGCAUGUGGUUUAAUUCGAUGCAACGCGAAAAACCUUACCUACCCUUGACAUCAUCAGAACUUGUUAGAGAUAACUCGGUACCUUAGGGAACUGAUUGACAGGUGCUGCAUGGCUGUCGUCAGCUCGUGUCGUGAGAUGUUGGGUUAAGUCCCGUAACGAGCGCAACCCUUAUCCUUAGUUGCCAGCAUGUAAUGAUGGGGACUCUAAGGAGACUGCCGGUGCUAAGCCGGAGGAAGGCGGGGACGACGUCAAGUCAUCAUGGCCCUUACGGGUAGGGCUACACACGUGCUACAAUGGUCGGUACAGAGGGUUGCCAAGCCGCGAGGUGGAGCUAAUCUCAGAAAGCCGGUCGUAAGUCCGGAUCGCAGUCUGCAACUCGACUGCGUGAAGUCGGAAUCG
rnacentral:rRNA from 1 species